UUUGAAACACAGCUCCUCGUACGAUCAUCGAAGCAUUAAGCAACGUCGCGCCUGGUCAGUACCAAGAUGGGUGACCGCUUGGGAAUAGCAGGUGCUGUAAG